rnacentral:rRNA from 1 species
UACAGAGGUCUCAAGCGUUGUUCGGAUUCAUUGGGCGUAAAGGGUGCGUAGGCGGUGUUGUAAGUCGGGUGUGAAAUUUCGGAGCUUAACUCCGAAACUGCAUUCGAUACUGCGGUGCUUGAGGGCUGGAGAGGAGACUGGAAUUCAUGGUGUAGCAGUGAAAUGCGUAGAGAUCAGGAGGAAGACCAGUGGCGAAGGCGGGUCUCUGGACAGUUCCUGACGCUGAGGCACGAAGGCCAGGGGAGCAAACGGG